rnacentral:rRNA from 1 species
CCUACGGGUGGCAGCAGUGAGGAAUAUUGGUCAAUGGGCGCGAGCCUGAACCAGCCAAGUAGCGUGAAGGAUGACUGCCCUACGGGUUGUAAACUUCUUUUAUAAAGGAAUAAAGUGCGGCACGUGUGCCUUUUUGUAUGUACUUUAUGAAUAAGGAUCGGCUAACUCCGUGCCAGCAGCCGCGGUAAUACGGAGGAUCCGAGCGUUAUCCGGAUUUAUUGGGUUUAAAGGGAGCGUAGAUGGGUUGUUAAGUCAGUUGUGAAAGUUUGCGGCGCAACCGUAAAAUUGCAGUUGAUACUGGCAGCCUUGAGUACAGUAGAGGUAGGCGGAAUGCGUGGUGUAGCGGUGAAAUGCUUAGAUAUCACGAAGAACUCCGAUUGCGAAGGCAGCCUACUGGACUGCCACUGACGUUGAUGCUCGAAAGUGUGGGUAUCAAACAGGAUUAGAUACCCGAGUAGUC